UUGCACACAAAUGAAGGAAUUUCCCCAAUGAGAUUGUUAUCAUUGAGAAACAGAGCUUGCAGAUUUCUCAUAUUGCCGAAUGAAGCAGGAAUAAGUCCAUUAAGAGAGUUAUUACCCAAAUAUAGAUUAGUAAGAGAACUCAAGUAACCUAUUUCUUCAGGAAUAGAGCCAGAAAGCUGAUUAUUGUAAAGAUACAACAUAAACAAGUUGUUCAGAUUCCCCAAUGAAGCAGGAAUAGAACCACUAAGAAAGUUGUUACCCAAAGAUAGUUUAGUAAGAGACCUUAGGUAACCUAUUUCUUCAGGAAUAGAGCCAGAAAGCUUAUUAUUGUAAAGAUCCAACCUAGACAAGUUGUUUAGAUUCCCCAAUGAAGCAGGAAUAGAGCCAUUAAGAGCAUUCUCACCCAAAUCUAGGUAAGUAAGAGACCUUAGGUAACUUAUUUCUUCAGGAAUAGAGCCAGAAAGCUUAUUAUUGUAAAGAUCCAACCUAGACAAGUUGUUUAGAUUCCCCAAUGAAGCAGGAAUAGAGCCAUUAAGAGCAUUCUCACCCAAAUCUAGGUAAGUAAGAGACCUUAGGUAACCUAUUUCUUCAGGAAUAGAGCCAGAAAGCUUAUUAUUGUAAAGAUCCAACCUAGACAAGUUGUUUAGAUUCCCCAAUGAAGCAGGAAUAGAGCCAUUAAGAGCAUUCUCACCCAAAUCUAGGUAAGUAAGAGACCUUAGGUAACCUAUUUCUUCAGGAAUAGAGCCAGAAAGCUUAUUAUUGUAAAGAUCCAACCUAGACAAGUUGUUUAGAUUCCCCAAUGAAGCAGGAAUAGAGCCAUUAAGAGCAUUCUCACCCAAAUCUAGGUAAGUAAGAGACCUUAGGUAACCUAUUUCUUCAGGAAUAGAGCCAGAAAGCUGAUUAUUGUAAAGAUACAAAAAAGACAAGUUGUUCAGAUUCCCCAAUGAAGCAGGAAUGGAACCACUAAGAAAGUUGAUAUCCAAAGAUAGCUUAGUAAGAGACCUUAGGUAACCUAUUUCUUCAGGAAUAAAGCCAGAAAGCUGAUUUUCAUAAAGAAAUAAAAAAGACAAGUUGGUCAUAUUGCCCAAUGAAGCAGGAAUAGAACCACUAAGAAAGUUGAUACCCAAAGAUAGCUUAGUAAGAGACCUUAGGUAACCUAUUUCUUCAGGAAUAAAGCCAUUUAAAUGAUUGU
rnacentral:lncRNA from 1 species